ACAUAUGCAUGAAAGUCUAAGAGAUUAGACCCCUCUUCGGAGCAUGUAUACAGGUGGUGCAUGGUUGUCGUCAGCUCGUGUCGUGAGAUGUUGGGUUAAGUCCCGCAACGAGCGCAACCCCUGUUCUUAGUUGCCAGCACGUUAAGGUGGGAACUCUAAGAAGACUGCCGGUGAUAAAUCGGAGGAAGGUGGGGACGACGUCAAAUCAUCAUGCCCUUUAUGUCCUGGGCUACACACGUACUACAAUGGCUAUAACAAAGGGAAGCGAGACCGCGAGGUGGAGCAAAACCCAAAAAAGUAGUCUCAGUUCGGAUUGGAGGCUGAAAUUCGCCUCCAUGAAGCCGGAAUUGCUAGUAAUGGCAAGUCAGCAUACUGCCGUGAAUACGUUCCCGGGCCUUGUACACACCGCCCGUCACACCAUGAGAGUUGGGAAUACCCGAAGCCUGUGAGCUAACUUUUUAAGAGGCAGCAGUCGAAGGUAGAAUCAAUGAUUGGGGUGAAGUCGUAACAAGGUAGCCGUAUCGGAAGGUGCGGUUGGAUCA
rnacentral:rRNA from 1 species